rnacentral:rRNA from 1 species
GACGAACGCUGGCGGCGUGCUUAACACAUGCAAGUCGAACGGAAAGGCCCUGCUUUUGUGGGGUGCUCGAGUGGCGAACGGGUGAGUAACACGUGAGUAACCUGCCCUUGACUUUGGGAUAACUUCAGGAAACUGGGGCUAAUACCGGAUAGGAGCUCCUGCUGCAUGGUGGGGGUAGGAAAGAUUCGGCGGUUGGGGAUGGACUCGCGGCUUAUCAGCUUGUUGGUGGGGUAGUGGCUUACCAAGGCUUUGACGGGUAGCCGGCCUGAGAGGGGGGCCGGCCACAUUGCGACUGAGAUACGGCCCAGACUCCUACGGGAGGCAGCAGUGGGGAAUAGUGCACAAUGGGCGGAAGCCUGAUGCAGCAACGCCGCGUGCGGGAUGUCGGCCUUCGGGUUGUAAUCCGCUUUCGCCUGUGACGAAGCGUGAGUGACGGUAAUGGGUAAAGAAGCACCGGCUAACUACGUG